GGCAGGCCUAACACAUGCAAGUCGAGCGGUAACAUUUCUAGCUUGCUAGAAGAUGACGAGCGGCGGACGGGUGAGUAAUGCUUGGGAACAUGCCUUGAGGUGGGGGACAACAGUUGGAAACGACUGCUAAUACCGCAUAAUGUCUACGGACCAAAGGGGGCUUCGGCUCUCGCCUUUAGAUUGGCCCAAGUGGGAUUAGCUAGUUGGUGAGGUAAUGGCUCACCAAGGCGACGAUCCCUAGCUGGUUUGAGAGGAUGAUCAGCCACACUGGGACUGAGACACGGCCCAGACUCCUACGGGAGGCAGCAGUGGGGAAUAUUGCACAAUGGGCGCAAGCCUGAUGCAGCCAUGCCGCGUGUGUGAAGAAGGCCUUCGGGUUGUAAAGCACUUUCAGUCAGGAGGAAAGGUUAGUAGUUAAUACCUGCUAGCUGUGACGUUACUGACAGAAGAAGCACCGGCUAACUCCGUGCCAGCAGCCGCGGUAAUACGGAGGGUGCGAGCGUUAAUCGGAAUUACUGGGCGUAAAGCGUACGCAGGCGGUUUGUUAAGCGAGAUGUGAAAGCCCCGGGCUCAACCUGGGAACUGCAUUUCGAACUGGCAAACUAGAGUGUGAUAGAGGGUGGUAGAAUUUCAGGUGUAGCGGUGAAAUGCGUAGAGAUCUGAAGGAAUACCGAUGGCGAAGGCAGCCACCUGGGUCAACACUGACGCUCAUGUACGAAAGCGUGGGGAGCAAACAGGAUUAGAUACCC
rnacentral:rRNA from 1 species